CCUCGAACGUCACACGCUACGUAAUUUCGCCUACGUGAAGCCUGCUCGAUAGGGAGCUUCGCUGGGGGGAGGAGCCGAGGUACUCGACACACGCCCCGAUGCCUCGACGCAAACCAUAACAUCACUACAUAUAGGAAGUUUCACCGACGACUGCUUCCUCAACUUGGUCCAAUACAAAGCUGGACUUGCGGAACGUCUGGAAAUGGAGUCCGGAUUAGUACCAACACUCCUCGGCUCAGCGACAAAUCUCGGACAAGCCAGCCCAUCAAUUGGUAACUUUCAGGUGUUUCUCUCAAGGGAUGUUGCCUGCCAUACAGACCACCUGGAAACACAUACUGUAGCCACACGGCUAUCCUUAAAGACUUUCCGGCCCCACUUCACAAGUAAAGGAAAAGCAUCAUGACCAGCGCCCUGCAAAGAGACAAACUUGGGAGUUGUAUUUCAAAGAGGGAAUCAGUCAAGAGCCCAGAAGGGUUUCAAGACUGAUAUCACAUGAGCUGUUAAUCAUUCUCAAUGAAUUAUCAAUCAUCAAUGAAUUCAAAAUGUAUAAAUGUUAGCUGAUCAGCUUACAGGGAAGGACACGUUGUCGCUUGUUAUUGUCAAAAUAGAGUAAUUGCGCUUGUCUCGCAUGUCAUGUUGUGCUCAGAUCAUUUUGCGCUGGUGUUCGUUCAGUGUCCUCCACCUGGCCCCCACUUGAGCUUUGAGUCUAGGGGGGAGGUUGCUGGAGGAGACAUCCCUCUCCAAAACUCUGAAUCUUUGUCUGCAGUACACAUUUUAAACCCUCUCUCAAUGUUACAUAAACAUACAUUUAAAUAGUUUAAAAUGUACAAAUACACAGUUCCUCCUUUUAUGCAAACAGUGUACCGAAAC